CCAUGCUGGCAAGAGAGGAGAAUAUGCUCAUCUUGCUUUCUUCAUGCACUGUGGAAGGUUGUCAGCUGCUUCUUUGAAGUUAACUAAUGAUCAUGCAAGCUGGGAAUCUGCAGUGGGAGCCAGGAUCUCCCUGGUGCUGUUAACAACACAGCUUCCACAUGCUGGCUCUCUCCUGUUACUUUGUGUGGUGUUUUUCAGGUCACUUCUUCAUCUGGAAUAGAUCUUGCUGAGGCAGAAAGAGGCCGUGGGAGGACGUUUGAGAGGAAAAGGAGUUGUGUGGUUUCCUCAUCACUCUUGCUGUUAAGCUGAACCUUUGCUUGCAUCUGGUUCAUACUUGAUGUGUCACUACCACCAUGUGAGUGCAGCACCUCCAUGGCAGAUGAUUUGGGUUCUAGAGCCAGCUUGGCAUAGCACAUUGGGUUUUCACCUUCCUUUCCCUCUUUCUAAGAAUAUACUUCAGG